rnacentral:lncRNA from 1 species
AUGCACAUGUCAUCACAAGGACUUUUUCCAAAGCUUGUAUUGUGGUUGGGCUAUCAAGAAAAAUUGGUUUUUCUGGAAUACAAAAUCCUUGAGUUAAGAGAGUUUAAAUCAUCAUUCAAAGUUCAAGCACACUCUCUUUUUAACCAAUCUCACUCAUUCCCAACUUUUUCCCUUUUUCCAUUUACAUUGAGUUCACUUAUCAUGUUUUUUCUCUUUUCUUCUUUUCUUUUCUUUCUCAUGCAUUUUUCUUUUUCAUCUUUCGAACUCAAUAGUUUUGCUUUUGCCUUUUACUUUCCCCAUACAACCCCAAACUUGAACCUUUUCAACACAUAUAAUUAUUCUCAACCCAACUCAAGGUAAUUCAAUUCAAACAAAGGUUUUCAUACUGUUUAAG